GACGAACGCUGGCGGCGUGCUUAACACAUGCAAGUCGAACGAAAAGGCCCUGCUUUUGUGGGGUGCUCGAGUGGCGAACGGGUGAGUAACACGUGAGUAACCUGCCCUUGACUUUGGGAUAACUUCAGGAAACUGGGGCUAAUACCGGAUAGGAGCUCCUGCUGCAUGGUGGGGGUUGGAAAGUUUCGGCGGUUGGGGAUGGACUCGCGGCUUAUCAGCUUGUUGGUGGGGUAGUGGCUUACCAAGGCUUUGACGGGUAGCCGGCCUGAGAGGGUGACCGGCCACAUUGGGACUGAGAUACGGCCCAGACUCCUACGGGAGGCAGCAGGGGGGAAUAUUGCACAAUGAGCGGAAGCCUGAUGCAGCAACGCCGCGUGCGGGAUGACGGCCUUCGGGUUGUAAACCGCUUUCGCCUGUGACGAAGCGUGAGUGACGGUAAUGGGUAAAGAAGCACCGGCUAACUACGUG
rnacentral:rRNA from 1 species